UAACGAAUCUUCCCCAAUGUACGAAAGUAUGAGGGAGCGACGCCGCGUGGAGGAUGAAGUUCUUCGGAAUGUAAACUCCUGUCAGGGGUUAGAAAGUUCUGAUCAACCCCAAAGGAAGGCACGGCUAACUCUGUGCCAGCAGCCGCGGUAAGACAGAGGUGCCAAGCGUUAGGCGGAAUCACUGGGCUUAAAGCGUGUGUAGGCGGAUCGUUAAGUGCUUUGUGAAAUCCCACGGCUCAACCGUGGAACUGCUUGGCAUACUGGCGAUCUUGGGCCAUCUAGGGGCUACUGGAACAAACGGUGGAGCGGUGAAAUGCGUAGAUAUCGUUUGGAACGCCUGUGGUGAAAACGGGUAGCUGGGGAUGUGCCGACGCUGAGACGCGAAAGCGUGGGGAGCAAACAGGAUUAGAUACCCCAGUAGUCCCUGAGCGGGCUGGCAAGGCGCAU
rnacentral:rRNA from 1 species